rnacentral:rRNA from 1 species
AGUGGCGAACGGGUGAGUAAUAUAUCGGAACGUGCCCUAGAGUGGGGGAUAACUAGUCGAAAGAUUAGCUAAUACCGCAUACGAUCUACGGAGAAAGUGGGGGAUCGCAAGACCUCAUGCUCCUGGAGCGGCCGAUAUCUGAUUAGCUAGUUGGUGGGGUAAAAGCCUACCAAGGCAACGAUCAGUAGCUGGUCUGAGAGGACGACCAGCCACACUGGGACUGAGACACGGCCCAGACUCCUACGGGAGGCAGCAGUGGGGAAUUUUGGACAAUGGGGGCAGCCCUGAUCCAGCAAUGCCGCGUGAGUGAAGAAGGCCUUCGGGUUGUAAAGCUCUUUUGUCAGGGAAGAAACGGUGGUAGCUAAUAUCUACUACUAAUGACGGUACCUGAAGAAUAAGCACCGGCUAACUACGUGCCAGCAGCCGCGGUAAUACGUAGGGUGCAAGCGUUAAUCGGAAUUACUGGGCGUAAAGCGUGCGCAGGCGGUUGUGUAAGACAGAUGUGAAAUCCCCGGGCUCAACCUGGGAAUUGCAUUUGUGACUGCACGGCUAGAGUGUGUCAGAGGGGGGUAGAAUUCCACGUGUAGCAGUGAAAUGCGUAGAUAUGUGGAGGAAUACCGAUGGCGAAGGCAGCCCCCUGGGAUAACACUGACGCUCAUGCACGAAAGCGUGGGGAGCAAACAGGAUCAGAUACCCUGGUAGUCCACGCCCUAAACGAUGUCUACUAGUUGUCGGGUCUUAAUUGACUUGGUAACGCAGCUAACGCGUGAAGUAGACCGCCUGGGGAGUACGGUCGCAAGAUUAAAACUCAAAGGAAUUGACGAGGACCCGCACAAGCGGUGGAUGAUGUGGAUUAAUUCGAUGCAACGCGAAAAACCUUACCUACCCUUGACAUGGAUGGAAUCCCGAAGAGAUUUGGGAGUGCUCGAAAGAGAACCAUCACACAGGUGCUGCAUGGCUGUCGUCAGCUCGUGUCGUGAGAUGUUGGGUUAAGUCCCGCAACGAGCGCAACCCUUAUCAUUAGUUGCUACGAAAGGGCACUCUAAUGAGACUGCCGGUGACAAACCGGAGGAAGGUGGGGAUGACGUCAAGUCCUCAUGGCCCUUAUGGGUAGGGCUUCACACGUCAUACAAUGGUACAUACAGAGGGCCGCCAACCCGCGAGGGGGAGCUAAUCCCAGAAAGUGUAUCGUAGUCCGGAUUGGAGUCUGCAACUCGACUCCAUGAAGUUGGAAUCGCUAGUAAUCGCGGAUCAGCAUGUCGCGGUGAAUACGUUCCCGGGUCUUGUACACACCGCCCGUCA